rnacentral:tRNA from 1 species
UGGGGUAUAGCUCAGUGGUAGAGUACUUGCCUAGCAUGCAUAAUACCCUGGUUUCAAUCCCCAGUAGCACAA